rnacentral:rRNA from 1 species
GUGGGGAAUAUUGCACAAUGGGCGCAAGCCUGAUGCAGCCAUGCCGCGUGUAUGAAGAAGGCCUUCGGGUUGUAAAGUACUUUCAGCGAGGAGGAAGGCAUUAAGGUUAAUAACCUUAGUGAUUGACGUUACUCGCAGAAGAAGCACCGGCUAACUCCGUGCCAGCAGCCGCGGUAAUACGGAGGGUGCAAGCGUUAAUCGGAAUUACUGGGCGUAAAGCGCACGCAGGCGGUCUGUUAAGUCAGAUGUGAAAUCCCCGGGCUCAACCUGGGAACUGCAUUUGAAACUUGCAGGCUUGAGUCUUGUAGAGGGGGGUAGAAUUCCAGGUGUAGCGGUGAAAUGCGUAGAGAUCUGGAGGAAUACCGGUGGCGAAGGCGGCCCCCUGGACAAAGACUGACGCUCAGGUGCGAAAGCGUGGGGAGCAAACAGGAUUAGAAACCCGUGUAGUCC